GAUCUGGUUGUGGAGUUGGUACCACGCCUGCUUUCUGCAUGAGCGAAGGUUCCCUGUAAGCGGGAGUGCGCCGUUCGAUUCGGGGCCAGGUCG